CCUACGGGUGGCAGCAGUGGGGAAUAUUGGGCAAUGGGCGCAAGCCUGACCCAGCAACGCCGCGUGAAGGAAGAAGGCUCUCGGGUUGUAAACUUCCUUUCUGGGGGACGAACAAAUGACGGUACCCCAGGAAUAAGCCAUGGCUAACUACGUGCCAGCAGCCGCGGGAAUACGUAGGUGGCAAGUGUUAUCCGGAUUUAUUGGGUGUAAAGGGCGUGUAGGCGGGAAUGCAAGUCAGAUGUGAAAACUCAGGGCCCAACCCUGAGCCUGCAGUUGAAACUGUGUUUCUUGAGUGGUGGAGAGGCAAGCGGAAUGCGGGGUGUAGCGGUGAAAUGCGUAGAUAUACGGAGGAACACCGGUGGCGAAGGCGGAGUGCUGGACAGUAACUGACGCUGAGGCGCGAAAGCGUGGGGAGCAAACAGGAUUAGAUACCCGAGUAGUC
rnacentral:rRNA from 1 species